rnacentral:lncRNA from 1 species
UUCAGUCUGUUAAACUUUCUCUGAUGGAGUCCAAACUGACGGACGGACUGAACAGAACCACAGGUCAAGACUGAGUCACAAUUCCACUAAUCACUGAUGUAUCAGUUAAUCUGAUCGGUCUGUACUGAAGAUUUUAAACCUAGACUCUGUAGAUGUUCAGAUAAAUACCGACUGUUGUGUUGAUCAGCUCUGGAGGUCCGACUGAGAUCUGCUGAGACACACCUGGAACACCUGGAACACAUGGAGCACCUGGAGCAACUGGAACACCUGGAACACCUGGAACACUUGCAGACGGAGAACACAGUUCAGUCCGAUCGACUUUCCCUGAUGGAGUCCAGACUGACAGACGGACUCAACAACACCAAAGGUCCACUUGGAUUUAUAUUAAUAUCACAUUUUGACAUCGUCUGUCCAGAUAUUGAUUAGUUAAUGGUUAUUUAUAAUUCGUACUUUACUGAAGAGAUCAAACUGUUGUGUUGAUCAGCUCUGGAGGUCCGACUGAGAUCUGCUGAGACACACCUGGAACACCUGGAGUACCUGGUGAAUCACACUGCAGGUAACAUCACCAUCCCACUAAGCUUCAGUCCAAAGCAUAGUUCAUCAUUAUGUAAGUACAUUGAGAACUGGUCCUGAACCGGUCCUGAACCGGUCCUGAACCGGUCCUGAACUGGUCCUUCUGACAUGGAAGGUAAUCUUAAGGGUGCUUUAAUGGAAACCACAGAGGAGGAAACUCUUGGUGGAUCUCAGAAGAACUUUAUGUUCUGCAGGUUGUUAAAUGUUUUAAGUGUUUUCAGUAGGCGAGGUGGAGCUGUCGGCCGUCACCGCGAGGCUGAUGGUCACGGAGCAGCAGCUGGACGAGCUGACGGCUGAACUCUCAGACAGACUGACGGCAGCUGACAGACACGCUGAAGGUACCAUCCCUUCUCUAUCGCAACGUUUCUGUGGUUAUUACAAUACUAUAGAAAAUAGAAAAGCUGUUCAUCAGAUGUGUUUCCUGUCAGAUCUGCAGGUCCGACUGAGCGCCACUGAGGCUGCAACCCACCAGCUGAAGACCCUCAACCAGGGUAGAGUCCAGAAUACGACAUGAAGCUGCCUGUGACCAGUGUCAGUCCAACAGUACCAGAAAUGUUCAGUGACCUCCAUGUUGUUUUUUCUCUCCGCAGAUCAGUCCGCCCUGCUGACAGAAAUCCGGUCCAGACUAGAUGCUACAGAGAGCCUCAGCUCAGGUGAGUCUUCAAGGUUCAGGUGUUAAUGGAAGAGAUGUGACAGAACAUGUCAGCACUGAGUUUGGGUUUUGUGAACUUUGCAGUUUUUAACA